UAAAAUUCAUUUUUCUAAUCAUAUAUUAAAGAUAAGGGGGAGAUAUUUUCUCAAGAAAUUUCAUGAACUCUUCCCCCUAUUCAGCUGCUGUCGGGUCUUCAUAGCAAGAUUUCAAUAAAACUAGCAAUCCGAACAAUCUGAAAGGAAAGGACAAAGCUUGUGACUAGUAUUAUCGUAUACAAGCUCUUAAGUGAGGCAAAGGUUCUAGUAAGGAUAAGUACGAUCGGUAAGGAGCUAUCGGAG